rnacentral:rRNA from 1 species
UACGUAGGGGGCAAGCGUUGUCCGGAAUCAUUGGGCGUAAAGCGCGUGUAGGCGGUUCGGUAAGUCUGCUGUGAAAGUCCAGGGCUCAACCCUGGGAUGCCGGUGGAUACUGUCGGACUAGAGUACGGAAGAGGCGAGUGGAAUUCCCGGUGUAGCGGUGAAAUGCGCAGAUAUCGGGAGGAACACCAAUGGCGAAGGCAGCUCGCUGGGACGGUACUGACGCUGAGACGCGAAAGCGUGGGGAGGCAAACAGG